GCGGGCGUGGUGGAACUGGCAGACUCGACGGAUUUAGGUUCCGUUACCUUCAUGGUGUGCGGGUUCGACUCCCGCCGCCCGCA
rnacentral:tRNA from 2 species